rnacentral:tRNA from 1 species
GCACCUGUAGCUCAAUUGGAUAGAGCGUCGGACUACGGAUCCGAAGGUUGGGGGUUCGACUCCUCCCGGGUGCACCA